rnacentral:rRNA from 1 species
AGGAUUAACGCUGGCGGCGUGCAUGAAACAUGCAAGUCGAGCGCGGUGUGAUGCGGGGUAACCCAAUUCACAUCUAGCGGCGAACGGGUGAGUAACACGUGAGCAACCUACCUUUGAGUUGGGGAUAGCCCUGGGAAACCAGGAUUAAUACCCGAUGUGGUCACAACAGGACAUCCUGAUGUGAGUAAAGGCGCAAGCCGCUCAAUGACGGGCUCGCGGCCUAUUAGCUUGUUGGUGGGGUAACGGCCUACCAAGGCGAUGAUGGGUAGCUGGUCUGAGAGGACGAUCAGCCACACUGGGACUGAGACACGGCCCAGACUCCUACGGGAGGCAGCAGUUAGGAAUUUUCCGCAAUGGGCGAAAGCCUGACGAGCAACGCCGCGUGAGUGAUGAAGACCUUAGGGUUGUAAAGCUCUGUCGGAGGGGAAGAACACAAUGACGGUACCCUCCAAGAAAGCCCGGCUAACUACGCGCCAGCAGCCGCGGUAA